GGAAGGAUCUAAUGCGCAAAUUCCCCAUUUUGAAUGGAAAUGCGCAGAUCUGGCCUGCUAAAUGGGCUGACGCGCAGAUCUUCCUCAUUAUAAACGGCGCUGUUUCAAUUUUGAUUCAAAAUUAAAAAGAAAUUGAAUGGCAUUCUGCCAUUUUUCAAGCCACAAUCUAAGCACCCAUUUGUACGGGUUUCGGCGCAGUAGUUCUAGGGUUUACUAAGACCAUUUCGUUACCAGUUCACCAUUAAAAUUGGUGAGUGGUGUAGAAGCAACCUUUAUUUCCAUCAGAAUCAACACUCAAAGACCAUUUUCACUUGAGCAUUCGCAUUUCUAACCCCGAUUUCGAUGGAGAAGACAAGGGAUCUUAUCGAUGCAUUCAUGAAGACUCGGCCGUACGAAGGUGCAAGGAGACGUGCGAGGAGACGUGCGAAGGAGGCCGUGCGAGGAGCCACUCGUGGGAACCCAACUCUCUGGCCUAUUCCAGAAGCUUCUGGUGCUCUCAUCUGCUGUACUCCUUUUUGGGUGUAUUGGGCCUCGUGUUUGGGCUAUUAGAAUUGGGUUUUAGGAUUUAUUUAAUUGGGUCGGAUUUUAUGUAAUUGGGUUAAAGGAUUUUGGGUGUUUGUUUAGGCUAUUAUUUUUUUGGGCUAAAUGAAUUGUAAAUGGACUUUAAAUCCAUAAACACUUUAAUUUAUUAUUUUAUUUCUGUUUGA